AGUCUAGUGGCGAACGGGUGCGUAACACGUGAGCAAUCUGCCGGGAAGUGGGGGAUAGCUCGCCGAAAGGCGAAUUAAUACCGCAUGUGGCCAGAGGGGACAUCCCCUCGACGCCAAAGUCGCAAGACGCUUCCUGAUGAGCUCGCGGCCUAUCAGCUUGUUGGUGAGGUAACGGCUCACCAAGGCUAUGACGGGUAGCUGGUCUGAGAGGACGACCAGCCACACUGGAACUGAGACACGGUCCAGACACC
rnacentral:rRNA from 1 species